AUGAAGCUACCCAGUUCGAGUUCGAGCACAUCCGAAGCAGAGUACAGCAAGAAGACGUCAUCCGCGCCGAUCCCGCGGCGCUGUUCGUCCAUCUCGGUGAAGAAGGGCACGCCAGUAAAGGUGCGCACCCUGCUGGCGAACCUGCCAACGGGGGAGCGCCUCGUCUUCUCGCUCAACGCCGUCGCCGUCUCCGACCCGAAGGAUGGCUACAUUGACGUGCUGUACAACGGCAACUACCCUCCCGACGAUCCAUCUCGACCCGUGCGCGUCGCCGUGGACGACGUCAAGACCAUGCCGCCCACCCAGUGA
rnacentral:rRNA from 1 species